rnacentral:rRNA from 1 species
UACAGAGGUCUCAAGCGUUGUUCGGAAUCACUGGGCGUAAAGCGCACGUAGGCGGCUUUCUAAGUCAGGGGUGAAAUCCUGGAGCUCAACUCCAGAACUGCCUUUGAUACUGGAGAGCUUGAGUCCGGAAGAGGUGAGUGGAACUCCGAGUGUAGAGGUGAAAUUCGUAGAUAUUCGGAAGAACACCAGCGGCGAAGGCGGCGCUCUGGGCCGGAACUGACGCUGAGGAGCGAAAGCGUGGGUAGCAAACAGG